rnacentral:rRNA from 1 species
UACGAAGGGGGCUAGCGUUGUUCGGAAUUACUGGGCGUAAAGCGUGCGCAGGCGGUUAUGUAAGACAGGUGUGAAAUCCCCGGGCUUAACCUGGGAACUGCAUUUGUGACUGCAUAGCUAGAGUACGGUAGAGGGGGAUGGAAUUCCGCGUGUAGCAGUGAAAUGCGUAGAUAUGCGGAGGAACACCGAUGGCGAAGGCAAUCCCCUGGACCUGUACUGACGCUCAUGCACGAAAGCGUGGGGAGCAAACAGG